GUAGCAUCUACAUUUGAAUCCAGAUUGGCAGUCUUGCAAUUGUAGCAUCUACAUUUAAAUUGACAUAGUCUUGCAACGGGCUUCUUAGCAUAUUGCAGCCCAAAAGUGUUAAAAGGUUCAAUUUUAGCCCCAAAACAUAAUAUUUUAGUCCAAAAGCCCAAAAGCCUAAAAGCCCAAAAUCAUUUUGGGAUUCCCGAUUUGUCCCGAAAUCCCGAAACUAUUUUGGGAUUCCCGAAAAUUUGGUUUGGGAUCGGUAUUGAAAUUGGGAUUCCCGAAAUUUUUGGUUUGGGAAUCGGGACAAGGGUUUCGGUAUGGGAUCCCAUACCGAACCACCCCUAGUCUUAUUAGGUGUUGGUCUCACAUAUGUUUCAAGAGGCGACUUAUAAGUUUUAGGGAGAAGAGAGAGUCCAC
rnacentral:lncRNA from 1 species